GGAAGGAUCAUUACCAAAGAGUGAGAAAUCACUUUCUACCUGCUUGGUGGCCCUCGGGUCGCUGACUGGUCUACCCUUUGUGAACCAAAAACCUUUUUCGCUUCGGCAGCUGGGCCUGACCGCCUGUCAGCCUGCCGCUAGCACCAACCUUUAAAACCUGUUGUCAAAACAUUGUCUGAUAACCAAAUUUUCGAAUGAAAAUUAAAACUUUCAACAACGGAUCUCUUGGUUCCCCCAUCGAUGAAGAACGCAGCGAAACGCGAUAGUUAAUGUGAAUUGCAGAAUUCAGUGAAUCAUCGAGUCUUUGAACGCACAUUGCGCCCAUUGGUAUUCCUUUGGGCAUGUCUGUUUGAGCGUCAUUACAACCCUCAGCUAACCGCUGGUUAUGAACCUGAACGGGUAACUCCGAGCCGGUUUUAAAGUUGUAAGCUCUGCUGGCCGCUCCGCCCAACCAGAACAUAGUAAAAACACUACUUGUUAGGGUGAAGCUGAACGGUACGGCCUGAACAAAACCUACCCACUUCUAAGGUUUGACCUCAGAUCAGACAAGGAUACCCGCUGAACUUAAGCAUAUCAAUAAGCGGAGGAAAAGAAACCAACAGGGAUUGCCUCAGUAACGGCGAGUGAAGCGGCAACAGCUCAAAUUUGAAAUCUGGAGCCUUCGGCUUCCGAGUUGUAAUUUGAAGAGGAUGUUUCGGUGCGACCUGGGCCUAAGUUCCUUGGAACAGGACGUCAUGGAGGGUGAGAAUCCCGUACAUGGCUGCAGGUUUGCUUCUAUGUGAAACUCCUUCGAAGAGUCGAGUUGUUUGGGAAUGCAGCUCAAAAUGGGUGGUAAAUUUCAUCUAAAGCUAAAUAUUGGGGGGAGACCGAUAGCGCACAAGUAGAGUGAUCGAAAGAUGAAAAGCACUUUGAAAAGAGAGUUAAACAGUACGUGAAAUUGUUGAAAGGGAAGCGCUUGCAAUCAGACUCGCCUUCAGUUGAUCAGCCUUCCUUCUGGUUGGUGCACUCUGCUGUUGGCGGGCCAGCAUCAGUUGGGGCGGUGGGACAAAGGUAGCAGGAAUGUGGCUCGCUUCGGUGAGUGUUAUAGCCUGCUGCGUCAUGCCACCAGUCCCGACUGAGGUCCGCGGUUCGCCUAGGAUGCUGGCUUAAUGGUUGUAAGCGACCCGUCUUGAAACACGGACCAAGGAGUCUAACAUCUAUGCGAGUCUUUGGGUGUAAAACCCAUGGGCGAAAUGAAAGUGAACGGAGGUGGGAGUCCUCGGAUGCACCAUCGACCGAUCCUGAUGUUCUCGGAUGGAUUUGAGUAGGAGCAUAGCUGUUGGGACCCGAAAGAUGGUGAACUAUGCCUGAAUAGGGUGAAGCCAGAGGAAACUCUGGUGGAGGCUCGCAGCGGUUCUGACGUGCAAAUCGAUCGUCAAAUUUGGGUAUAGGGGCGAAAGACUAAUCGAACCAUCUAGUAGCUGGUUCCUGC
rnacentral:misc_RNA from 1 species